rnacentral:lncRNA from 1 species
AUGUUGGUAUCUGGGUAAUACAGUAUCUGGCUUCAUAGAAUGCGCUCCCUCCCUUCUGCUGUUUGGAAGAGUUUGUGAUUGGUGUUAGUUUCUCUUUAAAUAUUUGGUAGAAUUCACCAGUGAUGCCAUCUGGUCCUGGCAUUUUCUUUGUGUUUACCAAAUCAACCUCUACUUGUUAUUGGUCUAUUCAGAUUUUCUACUUCUCUUGAGUCAGUUUUGGUAGUUUGUCUUUCUAUGAAUUUGUCCACUUCAUCUAUGCUAUCUAAUUUCUUGGCAUACAUUCGUUCAUAGUAUUCCCUUACAACCAGUUUAUUUCUAUAAGAUCAAUAGUGAUGUUCCCUUUUCCAUUCCUGAUUUUAGUCACUUGAUUCUUCUCGUUUUCUUUCUCGGUCAAUCUAGCUAAAGGUUUGCUGAUUUUGCUGAUCUUUUCAAAGGACCAUCUCUUAGUCUCCUCGACUUUAUUAUUUUUAUAUUCUCUAUAUUAAGUUUACCAAGACUUGUUGUAUGGUCUAGCAUAUAGUCUGAACUGGAGAAUGUUCCAUGUGGACUUGAGAACAACACACUAUUUUGUCUUCGUUGGAUGGAGUGUUCUAUAGAUGUGUUAGAUUUAGUUGGUUUAGAGUGUUCCUCAAACUCAUUUUUUUGGUUGAUCUUCUGCCUCAUUCUAACCAUUACUAAAAGUGGAGUACUGAAAACCCUAUUAUUAUUGAAUUAUCUAUUUCUCCCUCCAAUUCUACCAGGUUUGGUGGAGGGGGUUGCUUCAUGUAUUCGAGGUUCUAUUGUUAUUUUUAUAACUGGUAUGUCUUCCUGGUGGAUUGACAUUUUUAUCAUCAUAAAAUGUCCUUCUUUGUCUCUAAUAACAAAAUUUUCUGUUAAAGUCUACUUUGUCUGGAAAUAGUAUAGCCACUCCACCUCUCUUCUGGUUACUGUUUGAAAGGUAUACCUUUUCCAUCCUCAACUUACAACCUAUUUGUAUUUUGAACCUACAGUGUGUCUAUUUUGGACAGCCCACCAGUUUAUUUUAAAGCAAAUAUCAUAUCAUUUUACCUAUAAAUCCUUCAGUAUAAAUCCUUCAGAUUAGGACACUUAAAAAUAAAUAAAUAAACACAACACCAUUAUCACAUGUAAAAACAUUCACUAGAUUCCCGCUGUGGCACAGUGGGUUAAUGACCCGGCUUGUCUCUGUGGAGGUGCCAGUUUGAUCCCCCGCCCCGUGCAAUGGGUUAAGGAUCUGGCGUUGCUGCAGCUGUAGCGUAAAUCACAACUCAACUCCCACUGUGAUUUGAUCCCUGGCCCAAAAAUUUCUGUAUGCCUUGGAGUCAGCCAAAAAAGAAUAAAAAUAUAACAUUCACAUAAUUUCUUAAUAUCAACAAAUACCCAAUUAAUAAUCAGCAUUCAUUCUUAAAAUUGUCACCUCACAGACUCCUAGACACUGUGUUCUCCUGGUCUCCUGCUAUAUCACAAAGAACUUUCUUCUUUCCAUGGGCUAAAAUUCUAGCCUAAAACUUCAAAAGCUAUUACUCUUUCCUAAAAUCCUAUCACAUUCUCUCAGGCAUCUCAACAUCUCCUAGGGUACCAACCAUCAGCUCAAUACAGGAAACAUCCAAGAUUUUCUCUCAUAUAGGAGUUUCAUAAUUUCUACUGUCUGAUGGAGCAUCUGCAUGGGAGCCCCACAUCAAACUUUACAGUUCCCAAACUAAAGACCUCACUUGGCCCCCAAACUUGCUCUUCUGCCAACUUCUCCAUCGUUGUCAUCACCAUCAUCUCUCUGGUCAAUUACACUCAAAAUUCCUGUCAUCUUGGUCACCUGCCUUCACCUCCCAAGAGAGGGAUGGGUCUGAGACAACAGAGGAAAGGCAAGGAGAGAGCUGUGGGGGAUUCACACUGGGGAAAGUCUGAGAUACCAGGAUGAAGACUUUGUACUUAAUGUAGCAAUGGCUGUGUUCCCAUCUGUUUAGAAACUUCACCUGGUAGGAGUUCAUAAGACAUACUGGUGCAGGGUCUGAGUUGGCUAAGAUCUGAGUUACAGUCUAAUAAGUUUCUCCACUAAGACAACUCUUCAUGAUGGGCCCUAUUCUAAACACAUCACAUACAAUAACUCACUUAACUCUCAAAACCCCAUAAAGUCAUUAUUUUAUCCCCAUUUUAUAGAUGAGAAAACAGAGACCAGUGAAAUUAAAUAUGUCGCCAGGUACCCUGCCUAAUAAGUGAAGGAGCCAGCGUUCAAAGCCAGGCUAAGUGGUCUCAGAGUCUAUGUUUUAAACUAAGAUACUCUACCACUUCCCUACUUGGUCAUUCAUCCUUGGUCAGUCACUAUACCCAUUCUAAAUGUAGCCUCAUUUCCAAUUGAGUCCAAAGUCUUUCCCAGGGCAAAAAGGCAGAAGCAUAGUCUAAACUUCCUGAUAAGAUCCCUGUAAGAUGACAGUGAGUUUUGUUUUUUUUGUCUUUUUUUGUUUGUUUGUUUGUUUUUUUGCUUUUUAGGGCCACACUCACAGCAUAUAGAGGUUCCUAGGCUAGGGGCUGAAUCAGAGCUACAGCUGCAGGCCUACGCCACAGCUCACAGCAAUGCCAGAUCCUUAACCCAUUGAGCAAGGCCAGGGAUCAAACUCACAACCUCGUGGUUCCUAGUCAGAUUUGUUUCCUCUGCGCCACAACGGGAAGUCCAGACAGUGAGAGAAUUUAAAAGGCAUAAACCCAAUAUGACAAAGAGAACAGGGGUGGGACAUCAAUGGAAAAGUAAUUUCGUGUAUUUCUGGAAUACAGAAACUGGAUGGAAAUUGAUGAAGUCAGAUGGAAGAAGAGGCAGUCUGGAACACACGAGAAUGAGGUUACAGCCAAUGAGCAGGCUAUCCUGCCAUGUCUAACCACAAAGAGGUUGGAGAUUCAAACUUGUCAAGUAAGAAGGAGGAAGAGAAGGUAGCUCAGGGAAUGAAUAGAGGAGGUUAAUCCAAAGUCUUUAUAAGGCUCAUUACCCCUCCUACCCUACCACAUAUGCAGUGUGCCCCAUGUCAAAGCAGGCAGCACCCAGUGAAAAGGAAGAAUGCACCCUCAGGAGGAGGGAUGAACUAUCUGGGAAGACCAGAGACAGCUCAUGGGAGUGUUGCAGCCCACACUUUAUGGCAUUCCAGAUAUUCCAGUAACAGCUUCCUGGUCACCCACCACAGGAGAAACUCUGCAAGUCCUAUGUCCCCAGAGUUCCUGAGCUGCUCCUUAAACAUGAAUGGACAAUUCAGAAUUGCCAAACAUUUGAGGCAAGCUGCCACCAUGAAAGUAAGAAACCAAGAAAUAUAGAAAAACAGACCCACAGAGCAGCUAUGAUAACUCAGCUCAGAGAAAAGCGGAGAGAUUCAAGAAGCUACUUCAGGAGUUCCCUUUGUGGCUCAGAGGUUAAUGAACCCAAUAGGAUCCAUGAGGAUGCUGGUUCAAUCCCUGGCCUCGAUCAGUGGGUUAAGGAUUUGGCAUUGUCAUGAGCUGUGGUGUAGGUAGCUUGGACUCGACCCCUAGCUGGGGAAUUUCCAUAUGCCACAGAUGUGGCCCUAAAAAGCAAAAAAAAAAAAAAAAGAAGAAGAAGAAGAAGAAGCUACUUCAUUCAUAAAGCAAUAAAAAAAAAAACAUGAAACAGGAGUUCCUGUGGUGGCUCAGUGAUUAAUGAAUCCAACUAGGAACCAUGAGGUUGUGGGUUCAAUCCCUAGCCUCACUCAGUGGAUUAAGGAUCCACUGUUGCCAUGAGCUGUGGUGUAGGUCGCAGACGCUGCUUGGAUCCAGUAUUUCUGUGGCUGUGGCAUAGGCCGGCUCUGAUUAGACCCCUAGCCUGGGAACCUCCAUAUGCCACAGGUGUGGCCCUACAAAAGAAAAACAAAAACAAAAAACAGAAAAUGUGUACAAAAACAGGAGGAGAGAAUAUAGUGAUUGAUAUAAGAGGUCCAACAUUUGACUAACAGAAGUUCGAGAAAGAGAAAAGAGAGGGGAGAGACUUCUCCACAGAGGAGUCAUCGGAUGGGGACAUGACAGGCCUUCCAGGCCCAGGAAACAGUAUGCACAAGACACAGAGGCCUGAGAGUACAAGCUGUUUAUGGAGUUGCAGGCAGUUCUGUGUGACAGAAGGACAGGAUAUCUGAGGGAGUGGUGGGGAGGUAAGAUCUCAGAGGUAGAACCAGAAAAGCCUUGAAUACCACACAGAGACAUUUGGUCUCUAACCUGCAGGUUUGAGGACUCUUUAAGCAGAGAUACAAGAUGACUGGGUUUGCAAUAAGGAAAGAUUAGCCUAGAGUCCAAAAUAUGGGAGAUGAACUGUUCUAGAUAUCAAUUGCUAUGAAAUGGCCCCAAAUUCAGUGACUUAAAACAACAAAAGUCUCAUAUUUGCUGAUAAAUCUGUAAUUUGGACAAGUCUCAGUGGGAACAGUGGUCUCUGCUCCAUGUGACACCAGCUGGGGAGGUUCAAAUGCUGGAAGUGACUUGAUGGCUGGAGGGGAUGGAAUCACUAAAUGGCUGCCGCAGCUCCUAUAUCACAUCCUUUGAGAAAAGUCAGAGAAUGACUUUCCCUAGAUUUCAAGCAAACGUCUCAUCAAGGCUCAUAGAAUCUAACUGCAUCACAAAUGUACAUCCCUGAAUCAAUCUCUGUGGCCCAGACAAUGCAGUACACUGAUUGGUCCAGCUCCCUUCCAACUUGAGCUAGAAAGGAGUCCCACCCUAGCAUGGAUUGAGAGUAGCAAAGGGGAGCAUCUGCAAGUAAUAAGCAGAGAAGGAAGGGGGAUGGAUGCUGGGAAGGCAAACCUCAGGUAUGCAUGCCUCUAUCUCCCUGUUCCUCCCCUCCUCCUCUUGCUUGCUUUUCAAUGGAAGGAAGCUCCCUCUUCCAUGUUUUACUGGGUGGAAGGAAUGCUAAUUUCUCUAACUGGAGAGCUCUGUGCUCAGAAGGGCCAUUUAUACUCUGCUCAAUACAACUGAUGAAGCAUAAACUAAUUAAUUCUUAGAGUGAGAGCAUCCCUAUCAGUUUUUUCCCAAUAGUGAUGAAUCAUUAUCAGCCCAAACCUUAUCAUCUGCUUACUCAAUCAAUCCACACUA